UAUCCGUUACACUUACACAUCCACCGUCCAUUAUUUCCAUCACCACUUAAUCUUGGCCGUUCAUCUCGAUCCCCUUCCCCUAUAAAUACCCUUCAGCCGUUCUCACGAUUCACCUUACUUUGCUGGUCCCUGAACGCAAGGGAGGUGACGAUCAGGUUUCGGUUUUUGUAGAUUAUCGGAUUUGUUGUUUCGCUUCUUCUGUUUGGGUUUGAUUCUAUGCUUUCGAUAUCGAUGGAUUAAGUUUUGUUAUCGCUAUGCAUUAGGGUUUGGUGAUGGAUUUUGCUAACCGAUUAAAAGUUGGAUCUAAUGACCUUUGAAGGUUGUGACGAUAUAAAGAACCAGAGAUUGUGUAUAUUUGCAGGCUUGUUUUAUUGGUUCAGAUGAGACCCAAACGACAUCGUGGAUCAUGGUGAAGUAGGUGUUUGGGCAUCGUGGAUUCAGUACCUAGUUCGGCUUGCGUUUUGAUUUGGACGAAAACCUCAUCGAUUUACCUUCUAUGGGAGUCCUUUCGCUUACCUCCUUUGAUUUUGUUCUGAAGUUUAGAAUAUAAUGAUUUGGAAAUUUCCCUCGUUUUUUAUCAAUCAAAUAAGCGGAGCUUUGUUGUUAUUUUUCAGGCCUCGUUUGCGGUGUUUGACACACGAGGGUUAGAUGUUAUCAUGUUAUGGUUAGCUGAUAACUCCAUAGGUUCUUAUGGGAUCUGAUUGUAUGGCUAUGAGGUUGGAUUUUAUACUGAUUUGCGGAUGCAAUGGAAUGUUGAAUGUCAAAAUUUUCCUUCUGGAUCUAUUGAUUUGCAAGAGAUAGUAAUCGUGUUGCAGAUUUGAGCUUAUGUCUGCACCUUUUCAGUCUUUGGAUAGAGUCCAUUUGUAAAGGUUUUCAUUGGUUUGCUGCAUAUGGAUUAUUGUUUUUGGUUACAUGCUUAUUCUUUUACAGUUUGUCAAAAUGCGCGUCUUUAUAUAUCUUUCAAGUCCCUGAAAUUUGUAAGUAAUACCAUGUUUAUGUCCUCCUUUUCCCUAUGAUCAU